UGACGGCUCAGAGCCUGGAGCCUGUUUCCGAUUCUGUGUCUCCCUCUCUCCCUGCCCCUCCCCCGUUCAUGCUCUGUCUCUCUCUGUCCCAAAAAUAAACGUUGAAAAAAAAAUAAUAAUAAAAUAAAAUAAACAUUAAAAAAAAUUAAAAAAAAAAAAGAUAAGCUGUAAGGAGGAACCUAAUCAAUCAGAAAGGAAAAACUGAGGUCAGAAUGGAGGUAAUUGAAGUCCCUUCAGGCGGAUACAUGAUUUGCUUAAUAAAGCCAAUUAGAUCUUCAAAUUUACUUGGGUUGAAUUUUGUGGUUUAACAGCCUUUCAGCAGAUUUGAAUCUGGUGGGUGCCAGUCACUCUCUGCACCAUGGAAGUCGUCCAGAUAGCCACCUUAGCCUCUUCCCUGGCUUCUAAGAUGGUGGCAUCCAAGGUGAUGGCAGUGAGCCUGGCCCAAGCCACCUCAGCAGCCUGUGGCAGUGCCCUCGCCGGACUUCCGUCCGCAGCACAAGCAGCAGCUCAGGAUGGAAUGGGGAGGACCGGGCCCCUGACCACUGCCGACAUCUGACCUCUGACACUGUGCAUUCACCCUCUGUUCUUCCGCGGGAGUCACCCUGUCAUCCACAGCUGCCCUGAGCCAGGCCACAGCUUCCCUGGGAUCUCUGCUGGGGACACUGAGUGGCUCCUCCCUGGUGGAAUCCCCUGCUGCGGCCUUGACCAUCUCCCCACUUGGAGGACCCUGACCUCGGUGUUUGUCGCGCCGGCCGCGACAGAAGACAACACUGACCCUCAUGUAUGAAUGAAGGAACGUUGGCCAAAAGCCCUGGACCAGGAGUCAAGGUUGGCGCAGCUGUGAUGGGAGGAGGUGAGUCUCUGCAAGGAAGAGGUUCAAGUCCUUAUCUGCCCCCCCAGCCCCAAGGACUUGGGGAGCAACCAUCCUCGUCCAGGCCCAGGUUUGCCUCAGCCUCGUGUGGAUUGGUAGAGAUGGGCAGGAAGCAAGGAACUGGAAACAAGAAAUGAAGGGGCCUCUGUAGUAGGAUGAUUGCUCAGCAUGGUGCCCAGUGACCCUCACCCUUUUUAAAAAAAAAUUUUGUUUUCAUAUUUAUUUAUUUUUGAGGUUGAGAGAGAGAGAGGGACACAGCGUGAGUGGGGAAGGGGCAGAGAGAGAUGGAGACACAGAACUCAAAGCUGGCUCCAGGCUCUGAGCUGUCAGCACAGAACCUGAUGCGGGGCUUGAACCCGUGAGAUCUUGACCUGACCCGAAGUCAGAUGCUCAACUGACUGAGUCACCUAGGCACCCUGACCCUCACCCUUCUAUACUCCUCCCACCUUUGGAGUGCCGGGGGCGGGGAGGGGGGGGGUCAUGUGAACAUGGUAAGAUACCACUCCCAUAAUCAUGUUAAGUUAUAUGACAGAAGGGAGGCCAGGCGGAUGUGUCUAAUCUAUUCACAUGAGCCCUUUAUUUUUUAAUAUUUUAUUUUUUUGAAAUAUUUAUUUAGUUUUGAGAGAGAGAGAAUAAGCAGGGGAGGGCCAGAGAGAAACGGAGACACAGAAUCCAAAGCAGGCUCCAGGCUCUGAGCUGUCAGCACAGAGCCCAACACCGAGCUCGAACUCACGAACUAUGAGAUCAUGACCUGAGCCAAAGUUGGACGCCCAACUGACCGAGCCACCCAGGUGCCCAGUCACAUGAACCCUUUAAAAGCAGAGAAUGUUCUCUGCUCUUCACAGAGGAGGAAUCAGAGAUUGGAUUGGAGGGGGAUUUGAAGUUUCUUACCACGGGUUCCGAAUGAGAGCCCAGUCUGGCUGAACACUUGAUUUUGGUCUUGUAAAACCUAGACAGAGAACUCAGGCCCUCCUGGACUUUUGGCCUGCGCUAAAAUGUAAGAACUGGGCAUUAUUUUAAGCGCUGACUUUGUGGUCAUUUGUGAGGCAGGUUAGAAAAACAGCAGAGGCCUGCUAUCGCCUUUCCCUUCACCAGGCCGAGGGGUGUUCCCUCGGGAGCUGAAUGAACACGCUCAGGCAACCCCAGGAUUCCUGAAAUUCCUGGCUUCACUAGGUGCCCAACUCUGGGUCCUGCGCCUGUGAGAUUCCAGGGGCCCCUGCCUGCCCGCAGGCGCCCCCGCUAUCAGGGGAAGCCAGGCCCCUCCACGGCUAACCAUCUUCCGGCACACGAUGGCCGGCAUGCUGCAGGGAGGAGCACAGGGAGGCACAUUCUCACUGUGCGGGUCUAGGAUGGCCUCCUGUCCAGAUGGGCGUCUUCAGCAACACCGUAGAGGCUGCUGGGAGUUGCUCAAUGUCUACUCCUUCCUUCUGGCUCACGUGAUUUCUGGGCCUGAUUUCCAGCUAGGUGCAUGAUCUCCAGGGGAAGGACUGCCAUUUUCAGUCUCUCUUGCUGCUGGGUGUGCUCGCUCAGCGGGGUUCUUCUGGCCGGUGAAAGAUGAGUAGAACGAAGUAUACGAUGCUCUGGGGAUAAGCAGUUAAAGGGGAGCCGGUGGACCCGCCUUUGCCCCUCGUCCCCUUCCCGUGACUUCUGCUGCAGGCGGGGGAGUGGCCAUCAUGAGCCAGCGGAUGACAGCAGCACCUUAAGGAAGGCAGAACAAGACUGCAGGAGACUGGGCCCCCAGGAGCAGAGCCACCCUCUCCCCCACACCCCAGCCGAGACUCAUGACUGAGUAACAGAAAGAAACUUCCCUUGUUCGAGUCAAGAGGGUCUCUUUCACACCAAGCAGACAUAUAUUCUAGUGAACACAGUUGGGUAUCUUGAUGACCAUAGAGGAAUCAGUCCAACAGAGGGUUGCAUUUACCUGUUCCUUCUCCAUACACCACUAAAAUAACGGUAACAGACCAAAGAUGCUUAGAACCACAAGGGCAAAGAGGACCGGGAAGGUGACAGUAACACUACAUUAGGAGCUGGAAAUCACACAGCCAUGUGGUUCCCCACUUAGCAGUCCCGAGAAAGCUGAAUCUUAAGUUGUCAGUGGAGGAGGGGAGAAAGAGGCAGCUCUGCCCGGGAUGACCCCCCAGGGCUCAGCUUCUGGAAGGUGCCAUUGCGGUGGGCCAGCACAAGUCUGUUGGAUGUCUGUUAUAGGAAUGAGGCAGAUCCCCAGAGAUCCCCUCCAGCAGACCACUGGCACUUGAUUUUUGGCAAGGCUGGGUCUCUGGGACAAGGGGCACCAGGUACUGCUGAGAGCAGGACCUUUGUACUAGAACUGAGUUCUCCUACAAGCGUUGAGACCCUCGACCUUCAUCGAUAGGUCCCCAGAAUGCUGGUGGCCAGGUUACAACGCUCAGAAUAAAGGGAGGAAGAUUCUUCUCA
rnacentral:lncRNA from 1 species